rnacentral:tRNA from 2 species
CGCGGGAUGGAGCAGCAUGGUAGCUCGUCGGGCUCAGCUCCUCAUAAAAGCCAGCGAAGGUCAUCGGUUCAAAUCCGGCUCCCGCAACCA